rnacentral:lncRNA from 1 species
GUUUGGAAACACCUUAGAAACAAGAUUGGCUGUACCCCGUGACUGUAAAUGGGGACUCGAGUCUAAAGUCUAAGCUCAAGGCAGCAGGGGUAGCCCGAGGUGCCUGCUGCUGCAUGGAAGGGAAGGGAGAUAGCUGGCCAGGCAAGAGUGGGUUCCAGCAAGUUCCUAAUGUAGCAGACAUUUCAUGUUUGUAUUCAUUCAUAUGUUCAUUCACAGCUAUGAGCCUAGCAGUGAGGCCCAACUCAGUUUACAAGGCUUGCAAACCAGGUGUCAACUGGCUGCCUGUGAGACAAUGCUUUUAGGUGACCAGAAGGCAAGGAUUUCCCAGUCCCUGGAAACCAGAUGCCCAUCCUCCAUGCAAACAAGUGAGGUGGAGUGUCCGUGCCAGUGCCUACACCUGCCCGGAGGCAGCUGGUCAGGUAGGCUGACCUGCAUUGUAAUUGACAGUCCACCUUACUCCCUGUGUGGCCAUGCAGGUCACCUAACCCUAGAGCCUCUGUGGCCCUCCCUGGGAUUAGGAUGACAGUCCCUCUCGCAGCAACACAGGAGAGCAGGUGCUUCCCUUCUCCCUUCCCACCACACCUGCUGCUGCUCUACCACCACCUGGGGGAUCCUUCCUCUCCCUGCCCCAUCACCGGUGGAUUCGGGGCUGACAUCUCCUAUUUGACCCUCUGAGCCUUUAAAAACAGAGGCCAGUGGCUUCCCAUCUCAGAAUAAAAUCCAGAACCCCUACCACAGACCGCAAGACCUCGCACGAGUGAGCGGUUCUCAACCCUGGCUACAUGUUAGGGUCAUCUGAAUCAAUCUGAGCUGGGGCCGGAUGGCAGUGGAUCUUAAGCACUUCCCAGGUGGAUCUAAUGGGCAGAGCCACUGCCCCACAUGAUACAUCCCUCCUGCCAUGCUGCCUGGCUCACUGUGCCCUGGCCUCACUGCCUCUCACUCAUUCUCAAGUACGUUCACCUCAGGGCCUUUGUUGGAAUACUCUGUCCCUGGCUGUCCACCUGGCCCCCUUACACAACAUAGCUCACUU